GAUGCAUUAUGAAUAAGGUCUGGAUACAAAAGGCAAAGCAAGCUACUUGUUCAAAGUGAUUCAUUCCAUCACCCACAGAGGUGAAGGGUAAAGAGUUAAUGCAACAUGCACUCUCUCUCUCUCUCUCUAGAAGACACAUUUGGCUGAGAACACCACAGAUGUUGGCUUCUAUUUUCUAAAGCCACAUUUUGCUGUGUCAGUCCCUCCCAGUGCAGGAUGAGCCUCUGCGUCGCAGCAUGACCCCAACUCUCACCUGAGGAACCAGCUUAGAUUGGCCAUUUGAAACCCUUGUCGUCAUCUGAUUGGUCAAAACAACCUAAGAGCACAUGAUAACUGAACUUGGAUAAGCUGCUGGGCAAGGCCAUUCAGGAGGCGGGUCCUCUGAGAAAGAUCCUCAAAGUCAUGCCGGAAUGGGAAGGCGAUGCUGUCAAUCACUACUAACUGCACCUAUGAUUGGAUGAUACAAUAACAUGAUGCUCGGAAAGGAAGCAAGGUAGGAGGUAAACCUCAGCUAACAGCUCUACAUAGUCAUGGCAACGGAC